UGAAUGGCUAGUCUAUGAUUGCGAGUAAAGUUAAGGCUAGGCGGAGGAGUCGAGAGGUGUUAAGGAUCCAGUGGUCGAGAAGUGUCCAGGAAGAUUGAUAAGGUUGAUGCUAGCUCGAGUUGUGCUAUUGAGAUUCAGAUGUAAGUCAUAGCUGGAAUAGUUGACAGUGAUUCUUCUUAUCGAAGAUGAUCUGAUUUGGUAAGAGAUGUUGGGUAAUAAUAGUGGUUGAUUCUAAUUUCAAUACUGUAACCUGGAAGCGAUCCUGUUGUUUUGGGGGUGAAGAUGUUCUCUUUCAAAUCUUUCAUUUAACGUCUUUCAGAUCUUUUAUUAUGGCUUUCAAGUUUGAAUUUCAGGUUUUAAAUUCUCUGAUUUUAUUAUCUUUUGAAAAAAAAAUUACAGGUUUUUAAAGUGUUUUAAAAAUGAUUUUAAGUGGUGACGUCAGGAUCCAGACCCCCGGAUUCAUGGACCGUCACAGUUGGUAUCAGAGCAACAGGUUACAAGUUAUUGAAAUUUGAAUAUAGAUUAUAGUUUUAAGUUUUAUAGAAAAUAGACGUUGUGUGACCAUAUAUAGAGGUAUUGUGAGACUAAUUGGUAAUAGUCUAGAGAGGUGAUAUGAAUAGAGUCUAGUUAGACGAUUAAGCUGAGUGUAUAGGUUUAGAGAGAUUUUGAUUCCUAAGUUUAAACAUUUCAUUUCUAGUAUGUUGGCUUAUUUAGAAUUGUGAAUCGUGAGAAAGGUCAGUAUUAGACCUAGAUAAGAGAAUUUUGAUAGUGAAUGAUUGAGUUGAGAAUGGUAAAAAUGCAGAGUUCAGAGUAUUCUGACUAUACUGCAUAGUUGAAAAUGGUCUACUGUAUUGAUUUGAGAAUGAUAAAGAUGCAUGGUUCAUAGUAUGUUGACUAUGUCAGAUAUUUGGAAGAUGUAUAUGAUUUUAGUGAGAUAUGAAGAGUUAGUGUAGAAUACGAGUUGUGCUGAAUUAGAAGGAGAGAUUGGUAGAUAAAGGUUGAUAGAUGAGGAGUGCAUGAUAGAGAGUAGGUGGAGUUGAGUCAAGUUAUUAGAAAUGAUAUCUACGAGUAAGUUAGAACGUUAGUCCUCGACGACAACGCUUUAAGUAAGCGGGACAAGGUGGGCCCAGACGGAAUCCUUAUAAGGGGGGUAGAAUGUAAUAUCCCAUAUUAUUAAAUUCAAAUCGAAGAUACGUUACGUGUUUGUGCUAUGGAUUUCAAAGGCAAUUGGGAUACAGUAGAAGAAUGUAAACUACAUGGGCCAGAGUUAUUACGGAUGAUAACGUCUACGAUGACAUCUUACGAGGCUAAUACGAGUCAAAUCGUUUGAUAUUUAAGAACGUUGAAAAGAAGACAUAUAUUGUACAAUGAUUUAUUGAAGUAGAGUCGGAAUCUGAGAAGACCUUGGCAAUACCUCUCUUCAACUAAAGAUUCUUUUGAUUGUUUUCUCAUCAGUGAGAUAUUAUCAUGAUAUCUUUUCUACAAAAGUUUUGAUAAAUGAGAUCUUCAAUUUCUCAAAUUCUAAGAUGAUAUUGGUAUUGAUUAUUGGUAUGAGUUGGAAAGCAAAGAUGUGUGAUAAAGGUUUGUUGUGAAGAGAUAGUGAUGUUCCUUGAUAUUGUUUGACAUUUCUUGACAUUCCUUGAUACCCUUUCAUCUUCCUUGAUAUCCCUUAGUGUUCUUUGAUAUUGUUGAUAUUCCUUGAUAUUCUCUGAUAUUCCUUAACAUUUCUUCAAUUUGAUUGGGAUGAACAACCCUAUUUAUAGGGGACACAAGGUAUACCUGUCUGUGUGAUAGGAGUUGGAUGGGACGCCAUCACUUGUGUGUGUUGUGAUUACAAGAAGGUUAACAACCUUUAGUAGUGUCUAAUGUGGACACGCAACACCAAGUUCGUUGAUCAUAUAGAUCUCUCAGUCACUCCUUUAUUCAAAUGUGAUCUACCUUGAAAACAUUUUGUUCUAUUCAAAAUUCCAAAAGAUUGAUUCUUGGGAAAUGAAUUUUGCAAUUGUAAAAGUUUGAUUUUCCUUUUUCAUUAAAGUUAAAGGUAUGCCAAGAUCAACCAAAGGUGAAUGACGAUAUGAUAUUACGAAGCGUGUACGUUUUAGUUUCUUCGGAGGAUUCCGAGGACGGAAUCCUUAUAAGGGGGGUAGAAUGUAAUAUCCCAUAUUAUUAAAUUUAGAUGUGAUUAUUAUAAAUCUAUUUGUCUAGAUAUUAUUGUUGGCUCUAGUUGAAUAUUGAUAUGAUUAUGUGAAUAGUUGUAUGUGAUUAUACUUGUUUUGUGGAUUGAUAUGGAUUUUACAAAUUAUGCGUCCUCCUUCUUUCUCUGAUUCCGAGGACGGAAUCCCUAUAAGGAGGGUAGAUUGUAAUAACCCGGAUUUUAAAAAUAUUUUUAUUAAUAUUAUAAAUGAUUUUCUUAAAAAGUAGGGAAUAAGAUUUAAUAUUUUAUUCCAGUUUAAUGAGUUUUCAAAGUUUUAUAUUUAAACCCCGGGUUAUUGUGUUAUUGAUAAAUGAUUAUAUUUUUAAAACUGAUUUUCAUAUAUUGUUUCGAAAAUUCUAGAUGAUUAUUAUGUGAAUAUAUGUGUGAUGUGAGUAAGUGGUAUUGGUGGAUUUGUUGGUUAAUUAAUUAUGGUUAAUUAUGAGUAUUAUAUGAUUAAUAUAUGAAUUUUUGUGAAUUUUAUAUUAUCUGGUUUAUUGCGUUAACUGCUCAUAUGUGUUCGUAUUUGAGAAAUUUCAAUUUCUAUAUGCUCAGGAGAAAAUAUAGUUUAUUUGGAUAUUUUCAUAUCGAUUUAUGGAAUGUUAGAUGAUUUUAUAAUCGAUUUACGGAUUUAAUUGCGUAUAUUUAUAUUUAUUGAUUAAUUAUUUGACUUCCGUAAAACCGUCCACUCGUAACGAGGUAGCAAAUUUUCUUCCCGGAAGUUUCAACAAAACUCACCUUUAGCCUAAUUGGAAUAUUCCGGACACUUUUCGUGUUUUGACUUUUUCGAUCCGGAGUACGGUUUUCCCCGGAGUCGGUCCGGCGGAGUUUUUCGGGUAUUUUAAUUGUUGAUAAUUAUCCAGAUUGUCUCGAUAAACGUGAAACUAGAUAUUUUGAUUCAUCCUUAUCUUGUAAUAAUUGCAGUGGGACCUGCAUACUAAUGAUUGAGUUAAAAAGCCCCGUUUUGAUGAUUAUCUCGUAAACCGGUACCGAUUGGACCCCGCUUUAUUAAUAUAAAGCUAUUAAAUAUCGUAUUUUCAUGUCAUAAAUGAUCCAAAGGGGUACCAAUUAUUUGUAAAUAUAAAUAGACCUUUCUAGAGCUUAUUUUCACCCGUAAAAAUCAUUUCACCAGUUUCUUUCCAUGAAUACCGAGAGAAAACGAGCGGUGUUCUUCGUGUUCUUCAUAAUCAAACGCAGAUUUGGAGGUGUUAUUGGAAUCCGAUGGAGGCGUAUGAAUAGUCAAAACGAAGCUAUCGACGUGUAGAUUAUAGUUUAAUCAUUCGUUUGUGUGCAGAUUCAACAGGUAAAUUACUAUUAAUUGUUGAAAAUUCGAGUUAUAUUGAUUUGAAAUAUGAAUUUUUGCAAACGUGGUUGUUUGAUUGUUUUGAUGAUUCCAUGUUGUAGAACGUGUUUUUCUCGUCGUUUUGGUAUAUUAUAUGUUGAUUUUUGAGUUCCAUAACACCUAUAAAAAGGGGUUUGAUUCUUGGAGUUGUGUUCUUGGAGGUUAUGAAUGUUCUUAAUCGAAUUUGGGCGUUUCUUUGUUAUUGAUUCUGGGUUGUUCUUGGUUAUACCAUUAGAAAGGUCUAGUUACAAGGAGCUUGUAGGUGUCUUCAAAACUAGCAAAGGAGGUCGGAAUCAAACGCCGGAAUCUGGAGAAGACUCGCCGGCGGCGAGAUUUCUCCGAGAUUUUCCGGACAAAUUACGCAUCCUUUGCUAAUUCUGAUGGUAUAGAUCGAUUCCUGGCAGUAAAAUCUUGUGAUCUGGAGGUUUUGGUGCGUGUUGAAGCGCUGUAGCGCCGUUUCCGGCGAAUCAACGGCGGCUGGGGGGUGCCGCUGCGAAAAUUGCAAUUAGGUCCCCCUAGUUGUGAAGAUGAUGAAGGUUUGACACUGGAGUUUGAUUAUUGACAUUCUAGCUCUCGAACUUUUGAAAGUUUACACCUGGCACCCUGCCAGACAAUUUCAGUAUGUUUACAUUUUAAACCUUCUCAAAUUUAUUUCAAAAAAAUUCAUUUUAGUGAUUUAUUUUAAUUUCAAAAAUAGUUUUUAAUUAUUUCUUUAUUCAAAAAUAAAUCUAAUUUGAUUUAUUAAUUAAUUUUAAUUAGUAAUUAAUUAUUUUAAUUGGUCAAUUAAUUUAAAUAUUAAUUGAUUAAUUAAUUUAAUUAAUUGUUAAUUGAUUUUAAUUGAUUAAUUAAUUGGAUUUAAUUAAUCCUUUUUAAUUUAAAAAUUUCGAAAAAUAGUUUCGAGCUUUAAAAUAUUUUUCCAAAUUAUUUUCAAGGCUCGAUAAUUGUUUAUGAAUGAUUUCAAGUCCAAUUUCAAGUAUUUGGGACUUGAUUAUUUAUUCGAAAAGUGAUUCUUUUAUCGAUUUUAAUUCCGAAAAAUGUUUAAAAAUUCUGGAAAAUUCCCGAAAAAUCAUUUUUAACCCAAGACUUGAUUUAAUAUCAAUUGGGAUGGGAAACCUUAUGUGUUGUGUGUUGUCUGCUAUGGGUUGGAUGUGUUAUGUGCCGAUAUAAGAGUGAGAAAACGGUUUUAAACAUAUCUUUUGAUCCGUAAGUCGGAAUCAAGUGAAACGAAAGAGAGAUAGAAGCUCGUGAAGCCUAUUUCAAUAUGACAUGAUAAUAUGGUGGAGUCAAGAAUGUGAUGAGGUGUUGUUAAAUAUGUAGAAUGUGAUAAUAUGUGAUCUAAUUGUUAUUAAGUGAUGAUUACGUGAUAUACGUGUUUAUUCAUGAUAUUAUACACAUGUGAUAAACGAUUUGAGUGACAUAGUAUCAUGAUUCGUAUGAUUGAUAUUGAAUAAGAACAUGUGGAUUAUAGGAAUUGGAAUUGGUUGAUUAGUUGUCAGGUGGAUAGUCUUAUACAUAGACGAGACGAUGUCGGAUUUUCGAUAAGGAUUUAUAUGAUAAUUGAUUGGUGAUAUGUUAUGUGGAAUAUGAUUGACUAUAUGUUAGAGUCAAAGCAUGCUUAUGUGUUACGUGGUAUCUGAUAAGUUUAAAGGGAUAUAUAAGUGGGUAUUGAUAUACGUGAGAUGUAUAUGCGAUCGAUUGUUUAGUGAUUAUAGUGUUAUCUUAUUCUCGUAAAGGAUUUGGACGAGACGUGUAUGCCCGAAGACGUUCAGAAAGUCACGUGGUGUUACAAAGCGAAUAAGGGAUGAAUCGAGUAAGCGAAGCGAAGAUGUACGGUAGAUAGAGUAUAGCCAGAGAUGGUCUAGAGACUAUGAGAUGCAUAGAUUGUGAAAGUGGAAAGAUGAGAUUGAGAUGUGAGACUGGAGUCAGAUUUAAGGCAAGUAUCCUGCACCCUGCUUUUGGAUAUAUUGCAAAUAUUCUGAUUCAUUCUUUUGAUGUGUUGCAAGUAUCCUAAACCUUUCUCUUGGAUAUAUUGCAAAUAUUCUGAUUCAUUCCUUUGGUAUAUGUUUCAAGUAUUCAUACCUUUCUUUUCAAUGUUCGAAAGUGCGAGUAUUCUGACCCAUUCUUUCUAAUCUUCAAGUUUCUAAAGAAUUUCCGUUUUACAAAUUAAUUCGAAGUUCAGAUUGUCAUUGAAGCAUGUGUUGCUCAGUGAUAGUUAGAGCUUUGAAUGAAUUGGGAUCUUCUUGAUUAUUCAACCCGCCAUUGUCAUGCUGGUUUAGCAGGCUAAAUUCAGUUGCUUAGCCGAUAAUGGAGGAUACUGAAUAGUUGAGGAUUUCCUGAACUGUGAUUUAUGAAAUGAUGGAUCAUAAUUUAUGAAUAGAUUAUUAUCAAAGUUUGAUUUGGAAUUAUUCUGUUGUUGAUGAUAUUUAUGAUGAUGUUCUGUUGAUUUACACUGACCUGUUAAACUGAAUUAGAGAAUUGGAUUAUUGUUUUUAUAUAAACCUGUGGACCAGAUUCGUGGUCAUGUUAGGCCAAUGAGUGCCUUGGAUCCAGUGAUAGAGCAUGGCGGGGCCUGCUCGGGGUUAGGUAUGACUGAUCAGCAUCCUAACCUUGGUUUUUAAUUAAAAUGUGAUAGUCCAAUUCAAUAAUUCUCUUGUGAAGGAUUGAAUUCCUCAGGUUUCUAUUGCUGCAAGGUAUUGUGAUUCUUUUAUACAAUACCUGAAUUUGUGAACUCAGGUUGAAUCUUUUUAUAUCUUGAACUCGAGAAUUUCUGUUAUAUCAUUUCAGAACUUUCAUUGUUUAUUACUACUUGCUGAGCAUUGUUGCUCACUCUUGCUAUUCUCUUUUAACCAUUUCAGAAAGGAUUAAAGAUGAAUGGCUAGUCUAUGAUUGCGAGUAAAGUUAAGGCUAGGCGGAGGAGUCGAGAGGUGUUAAGGAUCCAGUGGUCGAGAAGUGUCCAGGAAGAUUGAUAAGGUUGAUGCUAGCUCGAGUUGUGCUAUUGAGAUUCAGAUGUAAGUCAUAGCUGGAAUAGUUGACAGUGAUUCUUCUUAUCGAAGAUGAUCUGAUUUGGUAAGAGAUGUUGGGUAAUAAUAGUGGUUGAUUCUAAUUUCAAUACUGUAACCUGGAAGCGAUCCUGUUGUUUUGGGGGUGAAGAUGUUCUCUUUCAAAUCUUUCAUUUAACGUCUUUCAGAUCUUUUAUUAUGGCUUUCAAGUUUGAAUUU
rnacentral:lncRNA from 1 species